GCAUCGGUUUAGCUCAGUGGUUACUUCUUACAAUCUGAACGUUUCCAUUUGACGAUCCGCGGGUUGCCAAGUUCGACCACGGGCGCUGUCCGAUGUUUUU
rnacentral:vault_RNA from 1 species